AAGUCCAUGAUGUGGACAUUUUCAAAACAACUCUCUCAACUGUUCCCAAGGUUCAUACAACGAUUUCCCAUCAAAUUGACUAAAACUAGUAAUAUCUAUUCUAAAUUU